AAUAUUUUAAUUAAUUAUUUCAAAUAUCAUUAUGUUUAUAUGUGAAAUAUUUUAAAUACACAUACAAAAACAUAUAAUACUAAAAUUUACUACACUCAUAAUGUAGUAGCCCAAAUCUGCCCGGGCCCAUGAGAUAAACAAAAAUAAAUAAAUAAAUAAAUGUUUAUUUAUUAAAGUCCAUGUACAAUAGCCUGUAGGCCCAAAACCAAAUACUAUAGCCUAACUGCCCUAUACCGGUUACAACCCAAUACCUAAUUAUACUAUUACCCUGUACCCAUUACACCCUACCUAGCCCAGGACUAAAGUGGCCCAACUGGCCCAAACUAUUACACCAAGGUAGGAAACCCUAGGGUUUCUGCCUUCUUUCUCCUCAAGCCGCCGCUAAUUCUGGAAGGUUCAGGGAGCGUCGUCCAGCUCCCAAAUCGAGGCCACCAUCGAUCAUGUCCACCAUCAACGCCGUGAUUCCAGGCCUCAGAUCAGGCUGUAGUUGAAGCCAAAUUAACGCUUGUUCUGUCGAAAGAGUUCGAUACCUGCAAAAAAAGAAGAAAGAACCAACAACAGCCAAGAAAUAGAUUUGGAAAGAAAUCAAAGGAUUUCUUUUCCUAAAAUGUAACAAAGGGUUAUAAAAACCCCUUCUUUUUCUAAUCUGUAACUACGUCUUUGGAGAUAUACAAAAAAAUAAAAAAGGGAAAUCAGAGAAUAAACAGAAAAACAGAGGUGAUAUUUUAUUUCUUUCUUUUCGAUAUUUAUGGUCUUUUCAUACAGCAUAUAGCAGAAUAUUUUUUAAAAAAAUAGUAAAAAGGGUUACCUUUUGAUUCGUUGCAAAAAGAAUAGGGUUUUGAAAGCCUUAACUGCCGGGCACAAUGGCUCAGACGGUGGCGCGUGAGGCGUGUGAAGCUCGUGUGGCCGAAGGCGGUGGUGCUCCGGGACGAGCCAGGAUGGCCACAGGCCAGAGCUCUGAGAGAAUUUUAGAUUUCUCUCCUUGUUUUUUUUCGAUGAGUGUUUAAAAAUGAGAAUUUUUUAAGUUUUUUUUUUACUUUUAUAACAUCAGUAAAACGACACCGUUUUAGCUUAAUUCAAUAAGUUUAAAAACGACGUAGUUUCAAGACUCAGGAUCCACGUGUUGACCCGAUUACCCGGGGAGGAUCCGCUUUUUUGUAAAUUGGGAUAAUUUCCCAAUUGAUCCUUCCGGUUUGUUAAAUUCUAUAAUUUCAUAGCAUUCUAUUUUUUAAUUCGGCACUAAUAUUUUAUAAUGGUUUAAUUUAGUCCCAAUGACUAUUAAACUUCAUUCUAAGGAACAACGUCGUUUCGGGGAUAAGGGAAAAUUUCCCAGUGAGUCUCUCGAUUUGAGUCCGUAUUCCAAUUUGGCCCAGUUCUCUUUAUUUUUUUACAAUUAACCCUAAAUUCCCUAAUUAAUUUUAAUUUUAAUCUUUAUAUACCUUUAAUUUAAUUUAUUUAAAAUACCUUAUGUAUAUAUGUAUUUUAUAAAUAUUAAUUAUAUAGUAAUAAAUUAUUUUAUUUACAUUAUUUGUAAUAUUAUAUACCUUCACAAAUUUCAUUAUAGAUUAUACAUUUAAAUUUCAUUAUUUAUUUAAUUAUAUUUUUGUAUAUUUGUAACAUUACCAUUAUUAUCAUACAUACACUAUAUAUAUUUCAUUAUAAUUCUUUAUGUAUUACUAUUACAUACUAUAUUUUAUUUUUCAAUAUUCUUUAUAACAUGUAUCUUUCUUAUAUAUACUUUUUAUUAUAUAUUUUAUUAUAUAAAUAUAUUUAAUUUUUUAUAUAUUAUAUAUAUUAAUAAUUUUACCAUAUUUUUAUAUGCAAAAUACUUAUUAUAUUAUUAUUAUUUUAUAUUAUAUUUCUUUAUAUUUUAUUCAUAUUAUUAUACAUAACUUAUUUUAAACAUUUUUGUUCAUAUUUUAGGUAUAUUUUAUCAAUGAUUACUCACUUUAUUUUAUAUUUUAAUAUGAAUUAAAUCUUUUAUAUAUUGUUGUAUUUUAUAUCAUUUACAUAUAAUGCUAGUUUCAUAAUAUUAUUAAGUGUUGCUUGAUUGAUAUAUAUAUGUUACUACAUUAUUAUUAUUAUUAUUAUUAUUAUUAUUAUUAUUAUUAUUAUUUUGUAUAUAUCUAUAUGUCUAAUUAUAUAUCAUGCAUCAUUUUUAAAUUGAUUAUUACUUUGUAUGUUCGUAUAUUUUAUAUGCUAUGUAUAUCUUAAUAUAUAUGUUAUUAUAUUUGCUAUAUUUAUAUAUCUAGUAUAGAACCUUUAUAUUAUGGCCAUCGUAUUAUUUAAAUGCAUGUUUUAGCUAUCUAUUAUUGUAAAAUGCUAUCUUACAUGUCAUAAUUUAUAUAUGGUUCUUCAUGCAUUAAUUAAAAAGAUUCAAAAGUUUUCAAAAAUAAAAAGGCAAUGCUUGGUAUUUGGAAAUUUCGAGAAAGGUAGUGCCCUAACUUACUGGGUUGCCACUUUUCUCGUUGAGUUCAAAUAGUCAAGCACCUUUCUAAAAUUUUUUAAAGGAUUUCAAAAUACGAGCAACUGUCUUGAAAUUUCAAAACGUUGUGUUCAAACUUACUGGAUAUGACGUUUUGACGUCUCAAGAUAGGGAUUUUCAAAAAUGGUUAACUUAGUCUCGAAUGUCUCAAAAUAGUACGUCUUAACUUAUUGGAUGUAAUAUUUUUGAUUCAUUUGAUACAAGUGAACCAUAAUUUUCAAAAUCAAAAUAUUGUAAAGAGGAUUACAUUUUAAAUUUCCGACAUUAAGGACAUUUUGAUAAUCAAUUAGGUAUUAAUUUUUGGGCGUUACGAGGGUGCUAACCCUUCCUCGUACGUGACCGGCUCUCGAACCCGUUUUCUAAUUUCGUAGACCAAAACUAAUGAUUUUAAAACAAAAUGUUUUAAAAGGUGAUCCAAUCACACCUAAAAAGAUUGGUGGCAACUCCCAUUUUUGUUUUUAAAGUCGAUUCCCAUUUUCCAAAACUCGAUUUAAAAAUGGUUUCGACAGCUUGGCGACUCCACUGGGAACCAAUAAGAGAGCCAAGCCGUAUAAUUGAUUACCCUUUGUCUUAACGUUUGAAAUUUAAAAAUUUUCAAGAAUUCAAUCCUUUUGCAUCACAUGUGUUUAAAUUACUACUACAUAUGUUUGUUAUAUUUUGGCACGCAUUGCAUUUACAUGACCGUUGUGGUCACACCCUUAAGUGAGAGUGAGAAACUACGCCUUUGUGAGGUUUUAACCUCCGUGCAGGAUAGUGGAUCACUUUCGGGAUACCUCUGUACCUAUGUCUUCAUGAGAUUUUCACCUCCGUGCAGCCAUAGGGAAAUGUGUCCCCCUGAACUGAACUCGAUUCGAAUGAGCCUAUAAUGGGUGAGGAUCGAGGAAUCUGCUGGUUCGGGUACCUCAACUUUAGAACUAAACCACAUAUAGAAGGACCGUAAGAGCUCAACCUAGAUAGAAUUAUACCGUAAUUAUUACUCUUGCAGGUUAUCUUUGAGUUUAUUGUUAUCAUGUGAUACUAACUAUUUCCUUUCUUUUGUUGCAUAUCAUUUUGCAUUUAAAAGGUAUUGAUUUUCGGUCAGUUUCUAAGUUAGAGAGUUUUAUUAUGGAGAACGGACUUCUUGAUAGAGUGGAAGACAACGCUAACAUCCAUAUAUGGUCAGAGCAAACUCAGUUAGUAAAGGAAAAUAGUCUAGCCAUGGGAUAUGUGUCAGAGCUGUCAGACUACAUUCGUAUCAGCGUCACACAGGAUAAUCAGCAUGAGUUAAAGGAAAUAUGGGAUCAAUGGGGUAGCAAAGCCAAGCAGUUGUUCUACAACAACCAUGGGGACUUGCAGUACUUGCUUGACUUGGAAAUAGACGAGAAUUUGUUUCGGGCCAUCACUCAGUAUUGGAAUCUUGUAUACAGUUGCUUUACAUUUCGAAAAGCCGAUAUGGUACCCGUGGUGGAGGAAUAUUCGGUUUUGUGGCGUUGUCCUAUGAUUCAAGUUGAUAAAGUUUACUCAAAGGCUGACUGUAUUCCAACUUUUGUGAGGAAUUUGAUUAACAUCAUGGGGAGAGAGAGUGAGCUAAAAUGGAAAGAGCAGGAAGAAAAAGAGGCAGUCUUGGAAUUCCUGCCUCUUCCGCCACUGGUGCGUCUUAAUGUUGUUUCCAAUCAAAGCAAAAUUGGAUAUGAGGAAGAUUGUUCGAAACCCUAUGGCAAGGCGUGCUGCAAGAACUAAAGGGCAGAAGGUAAUGUACUCACCAAUCAUUUCAAGGUGAACAAGAAGAGUACUGAUGGACAUUUCCACCAUUACAACAUUUCUCUUUCAUAUGAAGAUGGUCGAUGGUAAGAGUGUUGGAAGGAAAGUGAUUGACAGAAUGCAUGGACCUACAAAGGUGAGUUGGAUGGAAAGAAUUGUGCCUAUGAUGGUAAAAGGCUUAUUUAUUAUAGGACCAAACAACAAGCAUGAGUUUACUAUGUUGCACUUAUCAGGGACAAUGGAAAUGUAAGCCCUGAUGGUCUGUCAAAAUGGACGCAAAAGAAUGAGAUUAAAGAAGACCAUAUCAUUUAAAGACCUUUAAAGUGGAGAUUAACUAUGCUGAGAAGAUACCCAUGUAAGCAUUUCAAAAUGCUUUGCGUGGACAGGAAUCUGAAAGCUCUCAAGAAACACUAAAGGUGCUGGAUAUCAUUUUAAGGCAGCAUGUUAAGUAGGAAUGCUUACUUGUUUGCCAAUAUUUCUUUCAAGAUAAUCAGAACAACUUCACAGAUGUUGGAAGAGGUGUCCAUAGAUGUAGGGAUUAUCUCAUAUGUGAAGCCAUAGCUCAAAUUCGGGAUGGUAGUAGAUCAUUUACGGACCAUGAAGGUACAAGCUGAUACAUUGAGCACGAAAUACAAGCUACAGUUAGAUCAUGGUCAAGAGUUAGCUUUGUUGAGUUAAAACUUUGGGCCAUAGGACGAAUGUGUAUUUGUAAUCCAUUCAUAUGUAAAGAUAUUCUUUUUCUAAAUAAAGUUUUCUAAAUGAAAUUGAGUCGAGAUCGAUACCUUUUUGCAUUCAUGCAUUUGCAUUACAUCACAUCGCAUCAUAUGUAUUUAAGUCCAUAAAAAGACCCUAAUUAGGCAAAAAUUAUUUCAGAGAGUUAAUCGGGGAUAUGGAACAAAGUUUGGAGAGAUUGGAGCAAAGGCAAAUACAGAUACAAGAGCAGUUGACCAAAAUUCAACAAGAUAUACGUGAUCAAAUGUUGGAGCUCCAAAGAAAUAUAAUUGGCCAACUGGGGCAGUUACUAAUCGAAGGGCUCGAAAAGAGGAAAAGCCCAGUGGUCAACACUAAAGAUGAUAAUGAGGUCAUCGUUUAUUCCUCAAAUUUUACUCCAAUAGGGGUCCAGACUCAACUAGACGCACAUCCACGAGAGAUACCAGUUACUACCAAACCCCAACAGCAUCAAGCCAGUAUGUUAGCACAGUAAAUAGUUUAGUAGGCUCAAGUCCUAAUUCAGGGAGCAAUUCAGCCAGUCUUGUCGUCAUUAGAGAAGCAAGGAAGGCCAGUGUGGAGUGUCCGAAAUAGUGCGAAGCUCUUAAAAAGCAAAAGUGGAGCUCCCGAUACAAUACCUCGAGGGCAAUGACGAGAAAAGAAAAUGAGGUGAAGCUGUUGACUAUAAGACAACCAAGAAUGUCAACUACUAGCCAUCAAGUUCCUCGAAAGUAAGAAUCCAAUCCGAGACCGAAUCCUGAAAAGUUUCCCUUUACGUCAAUUCCAGUGUCGUAUAAGGAGCUAUAUCAUAGAUUAUUUGAUGCACAUGUAGUGUCCCCGUUUUACAUAGAACCGUUGCAGCCCCCAUACCCUAAAUGGUAUGAUUUGAACGCUCAAUGUGAGUAUCAUGCGAGACGCACAGGACAGUCAAUUGAGAAUUGCACUGCCUUUAAAAAAGAUGAUCGAAAAACUCAUCAAAAUAGGUGUUAUAAGCUUUGAUCAUCCCUCUGGGACAGAGAAUUUAUUACCUAAUCAUUUAGAUGGGGAGAUGAAUUCCAUGAUGGAAAGGGGCAUGGGAUCUAAGAAUGCGCCAAGUUUUAGGGCUUUUGAGCAGGACUUGAUGUUGGGGAAUCUGAAUAACGUAUCCGAAGAGGAAACCAAGGAAUAAAACUGGUGAGCCCUUGCACAUUUGGGGAAUGUUUUGAACAAUGAAAUUGUGGAAGUGAUCCUUGUAUUUUAAAGUUAAUUUAGAGUAAUGUUCAGAACACACUUGUUGUUUUAAAGCCUAGAAACAAUAAGAUUUCAUUUGUGAAAUAGGCUCAUGUUUGGACAUUGUUGUUUCAAUAAAACAUAUCUUUCAUGAUUAAUUUGAGAAAUUGUUCCCUCAUUUUUUCUUCAUUCAUAACGUAAAUAGUUAUUCUUGAAUUCAUUUAUUCCUUGUAUAUUCUUUUGUGCCUAUCGAAGACCACUAGAUAUCAAUGAUAGGGGCAACGAUACUACAGAUUCAGAGUUCCUUUUGAGCACUACAUGUGUUUAGAGGAAUCUCAGUAUUCUGAAGAUGACAGAGAUUGCAAUUUGUUUCUAAAUUUGUUGAAAAUGGUAAAUCAAGAAGAGAAAUAAAUUCUACCCCAUGAAGAGGGGGUAAAAGAUAUAGCCUCAGAAAAAAGGAAAGGCUGUAAGUUAGAACAAAGCUAGUUUUUCUGUACCUCAUAUUGAUGCCUUGGUGGACAAUAGUGCUGGAUACUCGGAGCUCCGCAGUUCCUUCCUUGUUUGCUUCUCGAUAAGAAAAACUCUGAUUUUCAUGGGCCAUAGAAGCAGAACAAUCUGUCUGAGUAUGGCAUCGUGACUCAGUGUAUGGCGCUAAUUAGGGUGAAGGAUCAAUGCCUUACAAACCUGCUUCUAAAAAUCAAUGCAAAGCUUGGAGGACUGAAUUCCAUGUUAGUAAUUGAACAAACACCUUCAAUUCCAGUUGUUUCAAAGGUUCCAACUAUCAUCCUUGGAAUGGAUGCAUUAUUUGGCUCUCCUGAAUAGUCUGAUAUAGUGUCAAUAGCUGCGGUGUUUAGUUUCAUGAAGUGGCCAUUGAUUUCCAGUUAUAGGGCAUCAGGCCGUACACAGUCUCUGAAGCUUGAAAUGAUAGAUUCUCUCUUCAAACCAGUUUCUGACAAAGUGGAUGAGGGUAUCGUAAGGAAAGCUUUCUUAGACUUCUAUACAAGUUUAGGGACAAGGAAGCCUGAUCAAAUUAUUAUAUUCAGUGAUGGAGUUAGCAAGUCACAGUUCAAUCAAGUAUUGGACAUUGAGCUAGAUCAAGUAAUUGAGGCUUGCAAAUUUCUUGAUAAGAGUUGAAACCCCAAGUUUGUGGUCAUUGUGGCAUAGAAAAAUCAUCAUACUAAGUUUUUUUCAGUAGGGAUCUCCUUACAAUAUCUCGCCUGGAACCAUUAUAGACAACAAAAUCUGUCAUCCUAAGAACAAUGACUUCUAUCUUUGUACCCAUACUGGAAUGAUUGGAACUACGUGACCUACUCAUUAUCAUGUUCUCUUAGGUCAGAUUGGGUUUUCAGCUGAUGAUCUGCAGGAGCUAGUUCAUGCUAUAUCAAAGAAACGCCACAGGCAUAUUUGUUGUGUCCCCUAUUCACUGAGCUCAUUUGGUAACUUCACAUUUAGAGUAGUUUAUAGAGUUUAAAGGUGCUUGAGAAACAUCAUCAAGCCAUGGUGGGAUGACAACUCCGGGAGCGAUUUCUGUACUUCAACUUCCUAGAAUGAAAGAUAAUGUCAGCAGCUCCUUUAAACUAUAUUUUUUUAUAGAGCUUCUGGAUUUUAGCUAUUAUUCGCUUUCUUUGUUUGACAAACGUUAGCCCGAAUUUUUGCUAGGGCAAAAGAAUUUCAUGAGGGGGAACUUGUGCUACAAGAGAUUCUUCCCAUGCAAAGGAUUUCAAAGGGAAAUGGAUACCAAAUGGGAAAGACCAUAGAUUCUGAAAAAGCCUCCUCUAGUGGUGCGAAAGAUUUACCCAAUACAGUGAAUUCAGACUCAAUUAAGGAGUAUUUUGUCUGAAAAUGAAGGGAAGCCAAAGUGAAAACCCGCAAAGGGCGCUUUGAGACUUCCAUUUCAAAAAAAAGAAAAAGAAAAGAAAAGAAAAAAAGAAAUUGGAAAAAGAGAAAAACUGGAGAGGCCAAGGUGAAAACUCGCAAAGGGCGCCUUAAGACCAAAAGGGUUUUGAAAUGAAAACCCGAAAGGGCGGCUCAAAUUUUGGUGAGCAGCAAUGACCUUGCUAUACCGGAGUCAACAAGUAGUGAAGUAUGUUACAUACCGGGGUAUCAACAAAGUACUUUGGGUCUUCUAAACAUAUGUUAAACUCAAAACAGUCUUCAUGGAAUUUGUAUAUAGAAGCCCAAGCUGCGAUAUCUAAGGCAUUUGAUUUUUUGUCUUAUUUACUAUCUUUGAAUUCUCUUUCUUCUCAAAGAUAGAUUCUUAUUUUAACCUCUUUUGUUCUUCUUUUGAUAAAUCAUUCAAACUCUAAUUUUCCUCAAGAUCAAUUUAUUAUCCAUUAUUCAUAAAGUGUGUUGCAUUGAAAUAAUAAUGGAUGAACUAAAAUAUCUUCACAAACGAAGUUUUGCAUAUUACUCUGGAAAUUUCUAGAUAAUACAAAGAAACUGAAACAUAACAAUUGUUUAAGGAAUUCCCAUUGAGUGAGGAUUGGAGGUACUCAAGAAAUUUUCUUAUUUGGUCCAAAUGGUGAUUAGAUGAUGUUGAUCCUAAGAAAGGAUCAUUUCAUAAACAUCUCCAGUGGGUCGUAACAUGUGGGAAUGGUACAGUGGACCAAAUCGAUGGAGAGGGUUCUAAGCAUACGAGCAAAAUAGGGUUGGUACUUUGAGUGAAACAAAACGAAACUUGAAUGAAUCAAGAUGUCCGAAAUAAAAGUCAUUUUCAUUUUGCAUCAUAAUAUGUCUAAUUAGGAGCAUUUGACUCAUUUCAAUCAUGGCAUCCUAAUCAUUAGGCAUAGGCACAUAUACAUUCUACAGGUUAUGUCCUCUAGGGGACAAUGAAGAUCGAAGAUUUCAACAUGGCACCUAUGUGCUUAUAGAGAACAAGUUGAAGAUAGCAGAUCUUAUUUCUCUGUAAUAGAUGGGGAGCAGAUCCAAGAUGACAGAUCUUAUCUCUCUGUAUUCGACGGGGAGCAGAUCGAAGACAUAGCAGAUCUGACCUUCAUCGGGGCAGAUCUAAGAUGGCGGAUCUUAUCUCUCUGUAAUAGACAGGGGGCAGAUCCAAGAUGACAGAUCUUAUCUCUCUGUAAUGGACGAGGAGUAGAUCCAAGAUGACAGAUCCUAUCUCUCCGUAAUGGACGGGGAGUAGAUCCAAGAUGACAGAUCUUAUCUCUCUAUAAUGGACGGGGAGUAGGUCCAAGAUGACAGAUCUUAUCUCUCUGUAAUAGACGGGGAAUAGAUCCAAGAUGACAGAUCUUAUCUCUCUGUAUUCGACGGGGAGCAGAUCAAAGACAUAGCAGAUUUGACCUUCAUUGAGGCAGAUCCAAGAUGAUUCGGCAUUUCUGUAUUGGCAGAGAACAGAUCAAAAGAGCAGAUUUGGUGUCUCUGUAUUCGACGGAGAGCAGAUCGAAGAUAUCGAUAUGACAGUCUUGAGUUUGUAAUGAGAAGACUGAGGACCAUAAUCCGAUAAGGCCGGGCAAAUUUGGUCUUUUUAUGAGUCUUUGCUCGAUUCCUGUUACACAGCAAUAGCAAAGAGGGGCAGCUGUAGUAGCCCAAAUCUGCCCGGGCCCGUGAGAUAAACAAAUAAAAAUAAAUAAAUAAAUUUUUAUUUAUUAAAGUCCAUGUACAUUAGCCUGUAGGCCCAAAACCAAAUACUAUAGCCUAACUGCCCUAUACCGGUUACAGCCCAAUACCUAAUUAUACUAUUACCCGGUACCCAUUACACCCUACCUAGCCCAGGACUAAAGUGGCCCAACUGGCCCAAACUAUUACACCAAGGCAGGAAACCCUAAGGUUUCUGUCUUCUUUCUCCUCAAGCCGCCGCUGAUUCUGGAAGGUUCAGGGAGUGUCUGUCCAGCUCCCGAAUCGAGGCCACCAUCGAUCAUGUCCACCAUCAACGCCGUGAUUCCAGGCCUCAGAUCAAGUCGUAGUUGAAGCCAAAUUAACGCUUGUUCUGUUGAAAGAGUCCGAUACCUGCAAAAAAAGAAGAAAGAACCAACAACAGCCAGGAAAUAGAUUUGGAAAGAAAUCAAAGGAUUUCUUUUCCUAAAAUGUAACAAAGGGUUAUAAAAACCCCUUCUUUUUCUAAUCUGUAACUACGUUUUUGGAGAUAUACAAAAAAAUAAAAAAGGGAAAUCAGAGAAUAAACAGAAAAACAGAGGUGAUAUUUUAUUUCUUUCUUUUCGAUAUUUAUGGUCUUUUGAUACAGCAUAUAGCAGAAUAUUUUUUUAAAAAAAUAGUAAAAAGGGUUACCUUUUGAUUCGCUGCAAAAAGAAUAGGGUUUUGAAAGCCUUAACCGCCGGGCACAGUGGCUCAGACGGUGGCGCGUGAGGCUCGUGUGGCCGAAGGCGGUGGUGCUCCGGGACGAGCCAAGAUGGCCACAAGCCAGAGCUCUGAGAGAAUUUUAGAUUUCUCUCCUUGUUUUUUU
rnacentral:lncRNA from 1 species